UACGUAGGGGGGCGAGCGUUUGUCCGGAAUCAUUGGGCGUAAAGAGCUCGUAGGCGGUUCAGUAAGUCGGCUGUGAAAUUCCGAGGCUCAACCUCGGAACUGCAGUCGAUACUAUUGUGACUAGAGUCCGGUAGAGGAGAAUGGAAUUCCCGGUGUAGCGGUGAAAUGCGCAGAUAUCGGGAGGAACACCAGUAGCGAAGGCGGUUCUCUGGGCCACUACUGACGCUGAGAAGCGAAAGCAUGGGGGAGCGAACAGG
rnacentral:rRNA from 1 species